CUGUCGAGCUAUGCGCUGAUCUUCCUUCACUGUUCACCGUAUCGUUGCCGAGCCAGUCGCCUGUUAGUUUCGUCUGAGCCACUCUUCUCCAACAAGCCGACGCCGUUGGAUCUCUUCAGCCCAGACCACUCACCACCCUCGGACGUCUUCGGCUCCUUCUCGUUGGAUUUUGUUUUGAUUUCGCCGGAAUCCUUGAUUUUGGAUUUUGGAGUCAAAGCUUGGAAGUGACAGUUGAUCAAGUUUGCUUUGGGUUCUAGUUCACACUCUUUACUUUAUCAUCAAUUGCUUGUUUGUAGAAUAAUGUAUUUAGAUUUAAUUCUGAGGUAAGUAAUCUUACUACUGGAAUCGCUUUUGUGUUGAUAAAUCUAUGAUUUAUGUUGAGGGGUGUAAGAAUAGUUACAAGGAUAAUUUUGAUUGUUUUGAGAUUGAAUGAAA